ACGCUCGACACCUACGGGAGGCAGCAGUGGGGAAUAUUGGGCAAUGGAGGCAACUCUGACCCAGCAACGCCGCGUGAAUGAUGAAGGUCUUCGGAUUGUAAAGUUCUGUGACGGGGGACGAACACAAUGACGGUACCCCGACAGCAAGCCACGGCUAACUACGUGCCAACAGCCGCGGUAAUCUGAGCGGGCUGGCAAGGC
rnacentral:rRNA from 1 species